GAAAAGCUAAAAGGGUUUAGCAGCACCUGUACAGUGCAACCAUAGGCAGUCACACACAUCAAAACAUGGUUCCUGCCGACAGGGUCUAUAUAGUUAUCAGAUUUUCUGUGUGAUGGAUCCAUACAUG